AGUGAACGCUGGCGGUAGGCCUAACACAUGCAAGUCGAACGGCAGCACAGUAAGAGCUUGCUCUUACGGGUGGCGAGUGGCGGACGGGUGAGGAAUAAAUCGGAAUCUACUUUUUCGUGGGGGAUAACGUAGGGAAACUUACGCUAAUACCGCAUACGACCUACGGGUGAAAGCAGGGGAUCUUCGGACCUUGCGCGAUUGAAUGAGCCGAUGUCGGAUUAGCUAGUUGGCGGGGUAAAGGCCCACCAAGGCGACGAUCCGUAGCUGGUCUGAGAGGAUGAUCAGCCACACUGGAACUGGGACACGGUCCAGACUCCUACGGGAGGCAGCAGUGGGGAAUAUUGGACAAUGGGCGCAAGCCUGAUCCAGCCAUACCGCGUGGGUGAAGAAGGCCUUCGGGUUGUAAAGCCCUUUUGUUGGGAAAGAAAAGCAGCAGGUUAAUACCCCGCUGUUCUGACGGUACCCAAAGAAUAAGCACCGGCUAACUUCGUG
rnacentral:rRNA from 1 species